ensembl:rRNA 5S_rRNA 5S ribosomal RNA
GUCUACGGCCAUACCACCCUGAAUGCGCCAGAUCUCAUCUGAUCUCGGAAGCUAAGCAGGGUCGGGCCUGGUUAGUACUUGAAUGGGAGACUGCCUGGGAAUACUGGGUGCUGUAGGCU